UCUCUCUGUGUCAGGAGACAAUGGAAGAGUAUGCCUUUGAGAGAAUUACAGUGUCUGCUGUGGCUUCACGGCCUGAAAGUGGAAGUGGUGCUGGCCGAAGGCAAACAAAGCAAUUUCUAAUUACUAGGAUGGAGCAAGAGAUGAAGUGGAAAGAGACAGUUAGUGGAAAGAGACACCACCAGUUAAAAGAUCUCUCUGAAAUAAUUGUAUUAACAAAUACCUGCAAUAAAAGCUCAUAACUUAAACAAGUGAGAUAUAAAAACUUUGAUAAACCAAGAGGAUAUUAUUAUAUACAUAUAAUAUUACUCAAAAGAAUUAACACAUCCCUCAACUUUGAAAAAUGUGUUCUUUGAAAAAUAGUAUAUUACAUCUCCGUAAUUUCAGUAUCCAUUUUAAGAAACAGCUUUUUGUAGCUUGUUGUAUACCUGGUUGUGUAGUCUACAUUGUUCUGUCUGACAAUUAUACCAAUACCACUGGAGCCCAUAAAUUUUCAACAGUGUUCAUACAGAUGACUGCUAGAGGAAUUGUGUCUAUAUAAUUUCUGCUUUCAGGUUCCCAUUUUGUUGCUUAGAGAUCAAUAAUGUCUACCUAUAGUGCACUGCAGGGUUGGAAAGUCCCCCAUCACAAACAUAAAUGGAUCCCUGUGUGUGUGAACUUCCCAUAUGCUUCAGUCCUGCAUUCGUGUCCGAUAUCCUCUACCCAAUUGAAUGAGGAAGUCCAUUCAUGAAGAACUCUGUAUAGUUCAGGGCAAAAUAUUUAAAAAUUAUAGUAUUCCAUCAGAAGAGGGUUUUCAUCAUGUAUGUGGCUACUUUUUUGAAUAAAUAAGUUGUUGGAGUCUU